UCUCCUCCCCUUUCGCCGCUCUUAAGGAGGAUUUCUUCUCUCUUGUCGGCGGGUGGGGGUUGUGGUGGCUUUUGCAAAGUUGAUGUUGGCCAGUUGUUUUCAAGUCUGUGGGAUGUCCUGCUGCUCGUGCCAGGCUGAACAACCCCAUCUCUCUCAGCCUGUCCUCAUAGCAGAGGUGCUCCAGCCCUCAGAUCGUCUCCGUGGCCUCCUCUGGUCAUGUUUCAACAGUUCCAUCUCCUUCUUAUGUUGAGGACUCCAGACCUGGACACAGGGCUCCAGGCGGGGUCUCACAAGAGUGACUUCU